GUUCAUUUAUGAAACAAACAGCCUCAAGUCACUGGGCCUCAUUCCCAGUCCCCAGCUUGAAUCCCGUAAUGGAAAGAAAAGAAGGAUUGGAGCAUUAACACAAUUGGAAGUUGAAAUUGUCACACCAUCAUGGAGACUACGUUACUGACGGGCCAUAGGGGACCCUUAUUUAGGCAUUUUUGGUAUCCCACGAAAAGUACCUUGAGGUUACCGCAGCCUGAAGAGGUCAAUGAACUUUUUUGUUUUUCCAUACGAGGCGUUGAACCUAGGCCCUCAUGCAUGAUAGACAGGCACUGCAGCACUUAUCAUCAUCUGCUCUCAGGACUUUGGUAUUUGCUGAGACUGCAAAGGUGAAAGUACCUGUCACGGCCAUCAGCAUGUUCAUUCCCUGGCAUACAGGAGUAGCUCUGUCUCCACUGCUGUGUGAUAUUGAGGAAAUGCAUACCACACCCGCUGGUAAAGUUUUGUAUAAGAAGAAAAUUACUAACAUUAGUAAAGCCUCAUACAUACCAGGUGCUCAACAAUUUUAGUUCUCUUCCCCUUUCACUUUUUAUGUAUUUCCUCUCCCUCCCCCUCCUCCUGCCUCAAUCUUAUUGUUUGUUUUUCAUGGGUUUUUUAUUUUUUUUUUUAUUUUUUGGUACCGGGAAUCAAACUCAUGAUCUCAGGUUUGCCAGGCAAGCGCUUAAGCCACUGAGCUAUUCCCUCGGCCCUUUUUUGUCUUUUUUUGAGACAGGGUCUCACUGUGCAGUUCAGGCUAGCCUUGAGCUCACAUUUUAGCCCAGGCUGGUCUUGAACUUGCAACCAUCCUCCUGCCUCAGCCUCCCGAAGGCUGGGAUUACAGGUCUGCACCACCACGCCUGGCUUUUUUUUUUUUUUUUUUUCCAGUACCAGAAAUCGAACUUAUGACCUUGCGCUUGACAGGCAGGCACUGUGCCACUGAGCUAAAUCCCCAGCCUCUUUUUCUGUCUUUUUUGAGACAGGGUCUCAUUCUGCAGUUCAGGCUGGCCUUGAGCUUACUUUGUAGCCGAGGCUGGCCUCCAACUCCUCUAAUGAUCCUCCUGCCUCAGCCUCCCGAGUGCUGGGAUUACAGGCAUGCCCCACCAUGCCCAGCCUCCACCUUUUUUAUAAUUCAUUAGAAUCAGGGAUUUGUCUGCCCUUCAUUAUACCCCUAGUGCCACAUGACCUUUAUACAUAGUAAGAAUUUCAGUUUAUUUACUUGUUGUGAAUCUUUGAGCCUCUACAGUGGACAAAAACUUAGCAUUGAGAGAGAACAGGCACUUUUGGGAAUUCUGAGUAACUGAAUGUGAUCAAAGCAGAAGCUUUGAGAAGGAAACGAUGAGAAAGAAGGCUAGUGUGGUUGAUCUGGAUUAGUUUUCAAAAGCUUUGUAGAUCUUAUAAGAAUUUUUUUUUUUUGUAUCAGGAAUGGAAUUCACAACCUUGUGCUUGACAGACAGACUCUGUGCCACUGAGCUACAUGCCUGACCCCUCUUACAAGAAUUUUGGACUUCGUCCUGUAAAUCAGAGGAUUGCUACUGAACCAAGAAAUAUCAGGAACUUUUAUUUUAGAAUGAUUUGUUCUAAAUCAUUCUGGCGUGGUGGCGCACGCCUGUAAUCCCAGCACUCGGGAGGCCGAGGCAGGAAGAUUGUUGUGGGUUCGGAGCCAGCCUGGGCUACAAAGUGAGCUCAAGGCCGGCCUGAACUCAUAGUGAGACCCUGUCUCAAAAAGACACCCCCCCCAAAAAAAAAAGAAAAGAGAGAAGCUUGGCCAGGCAUAUAGUUCAGUGACACAGUGUCUUCCUGGAAAGCACGAGGUCCUGAAUUUGAGUCCCAGUACCAAAAAAAAAAAAAAAAAAAAAAAAAAAAAAAAAAGAAGCACAUUAAAACGCAGCUUCCAGUCAUACUGCCAAGGGGUCCAAGGCUUUUAUUUACUCAUUUAUGUAUUUAUGUCACGCCUGUUUGCAGUAUAUCACAGUUACAUUUGUUUAGGGGGUUCGUACGUUUAUAGCACAUUCUUAAUCAUUUCUAAUCCCUUUAUACCCUACUGCCCCCACCCUUGCCGCACUUUUGACCAAGAUUCAUCUUUAAACCAGCAUUGUAGGUGAUGAUUCACUAGGCACCAAGAAAGUAUUUUAAAGCAAGAAAAGCAAUGCUGUGCUUGGUGGCUCAGGCCUGUAAUCCCAGCACUUUGACAGGCUGAAGUAGGAGUAUUCCAAGUUGGAGCCCAGCCUAGGCAACUUGGCAAUUUAAUGAAAUCCUGUCUCAAAAUAAAAUAAAGCAUAUAAAAGGGCUUGGAUGUAGCUCAGUGGGAAGACUUUGGGUUCAGUGCCCCGUACCAUACAUGCACAGUAACCAGUUAGGUGGGCAGUGACCUAACUCUGGGGAGAGCUGAUCUGGUCCAGAUCAAAUAAGGCUUCCCCUACCUCCUCUGAUCAAUCUGCCUGCCUUGGCCUUUCUUUUUUUUUCCAGUACUGGGUAUCGAACUCACAACCUUGUGCUUGCCAGGCAGGCCCUGGUGCCGCUGAGCUAUAUCCCCAGCCCUAGAUAUACAGAUUUGCAAAUCAUUAACUAAUAGACAGUAAUGGAAAUGGCUGAAAUCAUCCCAGGAGAGGAAAUAUAGAACAGUCUAGAACAAAACCUUGGCCGGGUAUAUAGCUCAGUUGUACAAGGGCCUGCCUGGCAAGCACAAGGUCCUGAGUUCGAUUUCCCGUACCACACCAAAAAA
ensembl:lincRNA